rnacentral:rRNA from 1 species
UGUGAACGUUACCAAACUGUUGCCUCGGCGGGAUCUCUGCCCCGGGUGCGUCGCAGCCCCGGACCAAGGCGCCCGCCGGAGGACCAACCAAAACUCUUUUUGUAUACCCCCUCGCGGGUUUUUUAUAAUCUGAGCCUUCUCGGCGCCUCUCGUAGGCGUUUCGAAAAUGAAUCAAAACUUUCAACAACGGAUCUCUUGGUUCUGGCAUCGAUGAAGAACGCAGCGAAAUGCGAUAAGUAAUGUGAAUUGCAGAAUUCAGUGAAUCAUCGAAUCUUUGAACGCACAUUGCGCCCGCCAGUAUUCUGGCGGGCAUGCCUGUCCGAGCGUCAUUUCAACCCUCGAACCCCUCCGGGGGGUCGGCGUUGGGGAUCGGCCCUGCCUUUGGCGGUGGCCGUCUCCGAAAUACAGUGGCGGUCUCGCCGCAGCCUCUCCUGCGCAGUAGUUUGCACACUCGCAUCGGGAGCGCGGCGCGUCCACAGCCGUUAAACACCCAACUUCUGAAAUGUUGACCUCGGAUCAGGUAGGAAUACCCGCUGAACUUAAGCAUAUC